CCCAGAGCUCGAAUAGAUAAGCAUCUCAUUUACAUUGAAAAGAUUUUUGUGCAGAUCAAUAUAAAUUGA
rnacentral:tRNA from 1 species